rnacentral:rRNA from 1 species
UACGUAGGGGGCUAGCGUUGCUCGGAAUCACUGGGCGUAAAGCGCACGUAGGCGGAUUGUUAAGUCAGGGGUGAAAUCCUGGAGCUCAACUCCAGAACUGCCUUUGAUACUGGCGAUCUCGAGUCCGGGAGAGGUGAGUGGAACUGCGAGUGUAGAGGUGAAAUUCGUAGAUAUUCGGAAGAACACCAGUGGCGAAGGCGGCUCACUGGCCCGGUACUGACGCUGAGGUGCGAAAGCGUGGGGAGCAAACAGG